UCCCUGGUGGCUCAGCUGGUAUAGAAUCCGCCUGCAAUGCAGGAGACCUGGGUUCGAUCCCUGGUUUGGGAA
rfam:Ovis aries breed Texel chromosome 1, whole genome shotgun sequence.